rnacentral:rRNA from 1 species
CACGUAGGGUGCGAGCGUUGUCCGGAAUUAUUGGCGUAAAGAGCUCGUAGGCGGUCUGUCGCGUCGGCUGUGAAAACCCGGGGCUCAACCCCGGCCUGCAGUCGAUACGGGCAGACUAGAGUGCGGUAGGGGAGACUGGAAUUCCUGGUGUAGCGGUGAAAUGCGCAGAUAUCAGGAGGAACACCGGUGGCGAAGGCGGGUCUCUGGGCCGUAACUGACGCUGAGGAGCGAAAGCGUGGGGAGCGAACAGG